GUUCGGCUGGACCGGAUACAGGUGCUGCAUGGCUGUCGUCAGCUCGUGCCGUGAGGUGUCGGGUUAAGUCCCCAUAACGAGCGCAACCCCUACCUUUACGUUGCCAUCAGGUUAAGCUGGGGACUCUAAAGGAACUGCCUACGCAAGUAGUGAGAAGGCGGGGAUGACGUCAAAUCAGCACGGCCCUUACGUCCAGGGCUACACACGUGCUACAAUGGCCGAUACAGAGGGCAGCUACCUGGUGACAGGGAUGCAAAUCUCCAAAGUCGGUCUCAGUUCGGAUCGGAGUCUGCAACCCGACUCCGUGAAGUUGGAUUCGCUAGUAAUCGCGCAUCAGCCAUGGCGCGGUGAAUACGUUCCCGGGCCUU
rnacentral:rRNA from 1 species